AUACGGAGGGUGCAAGCGUUACUCGGAAUCACUGGGCGUAAAGCGCGCGCAGGCGGCCAUGUAAGUUGGAUGUGAAAGCCUACGGCUCAACCGUAGAACUGCAUCCAAAACUAUUUGGCUAGAGUGUGGGAGAGGAAGAUGGAAUUAGUUGUGUAGGGGUAAAAUCCGUAGAGAUAACUAGGAAUACCAAAAGCGAAGGCAAUCUUCUGGAACACUACUGACGCUGAGGCGCGAAAGCGUGGGGAGCAAACGGGAUUAGAAACCCUAGUAGUCC
rnacentral:rRNA from 1 species